rnacentral:rRNA from 1 species
UCCUACGGGGGGCUGCAGUGGGGAAUUUUGGACAAUGGGCGCAAGCCUGAUCCAGCAAUGCCGCGUGCAGGAAGAAGGCCUUCGGGUUGUAAACUGCUUUUGUACGGAACGAAAAGGCUCUGGUUAAUACCUGGGGCUCAUGACGGUACCGUAAGAAUAAGCACCGGCUAACUACGUGCCAGCAGCCGCGGUAAUACGUAGGGUGCAAGCGUUAAUCGGAAUUACUGGGCGUAAAGCGUGAGCAGGCGGUGUUGUAAGACAGGAGUGAAAUCCCCGGGCUCAACCUGGGAAUUGCGCUUGUGACUGCAAGGCUGGAGUGCGGCAGAGGGGGAUGGAAUUCCGCGUGUAGCAGUGAAAUGCGUAGAUAUGCGGAGGAACACCGAUGGCGAAGGCAAUCCCCUGGGCCUGCACUGACGCUCAUGCACGAAAGCGUGGGGAGCAAACAGGAUUAGAUACCCGAGUAGUCG